rnacentral:tRNA from 1 species
GUGGUGGCUCAAUGGUAGAGCGCUCGCCUAGCAUGUGUGAAGCCCUGGGUUCAAGCCUCAGCACCACA